rnacentral:lncRNA from 1 species
CACUAGUUCAGAAUACGCUGAUUUAAAUCAGACUAGUUGUAGAUGAUAGGAUCUAUUAUUGCUGGUUUUAUCUCAUAUAGACAUGAUAUCUAGUGUGCUGGUUUUAAUUUUGAAAAUGGUACUGUUUUAUAUCCGUUUAAAUCCUAGAGUACGAUGUCUAAGUGGUAAUAAGCGUGUAGAAUUUAAAGUGGAGUCCUAUAGGUAGGUUAUCGAUGCGUGAAGUUGAACAUGCAGAAUUUUAAAUAAAUAAACCAUUACAGCCAUGG